UUUAAACCUUUCUCCAGAGUAUCAAUUGGAGGGCAAGUCUGGUGCCAGCAGCCGCGGUAAUUCCAGCUCCAAUAGCGUAUAUUAAAAUUGUUGCAGUUAAAAAGCUCGUAGUUGAAUUUCUGCUACAUUGCCUAUUCUCCUUUACGAGUUUGGGUCUUUUGUGGCUUAUCUGGGUUCGCUUGCGUUCCCGGUGUUUUACUUUGAGAAAAUUAGAGUGCUCAAAGCAGGCUUUUGCCUUGAAUAGUUUAGCAUGGAAUAAUAAAGUAGGACUUUGGUUCUAUUUUGUUGGUUUUAGGUACCAAAGUAAUGGUUAAUAGGAACAGUUGGGGGCAUUCGUAUUUAACUGUCAGAGGUGAAAUUCUUAGAUUUGUUAAAGACGAACUACUGCGAAAGCAUUUGCCAAGGAUGUUUUCAUUAAUCAAGAACGAAAGUUAGGGGAUCGAAGACGAUCAGAUACCGUCGUAGUCCUAACCAUAAACUAUGCCGACUAGAGAUUGGAGGUCGUCAGUUUUUACGACUCCUUCAGCACCUGAGAGAAAUCAAAG
rnacentral:rRNA from 1 species